GCCUGGUUGGCUCAGUCGGUUAAGCAUCUGACUUUGGCUCAGGCCACGAUCUUGUGGUUUGUGGGUCCAAGCCCCAUGUCGGGCU
rnacentral:tRNA from 1 species